rnacentral:rRNA from 1 species
UACGUAGGAUGCAAGCGUUGUCCGGAUUUACUGGGCGUAAAGCGCGCGCAGGCGGCACUCUAAGUACGUCGUGAAAUCUCCUUGCUCAACGGGGAGGGUGCGAAGUAGACUAGGGAGCUAGAGGUCGGUAGAGGGGGGUGGAAUUGCUGGUGUAGCGGUGAAAUGCGUAGAGAUCAGCAGGAACACCCGUGGCGAAGGCGGCCCCCUGGGCCGUACCUGACGCUGAGGCGCGAAGGCUAGGGGAGCGAACGGG